rnacentral:sRNA from 1 species
AGACCGGGGUUCGAUUCCCCGCCGGAGA